rnacentral:lncRNA from 1 species
AUCCUGCCAGGAGGAGAAUGCCUCCCUGCAUGAAAAACUCACUCAUAUGGAAAAAAAGGCAGAAAGAUGGAAAGUGGUAGCGACAGGGGUGCAAAGCCAGUUAGACCCUCUCUGGGAGGCAAUCAGGGAGGGCAAACAAAGAGAAAAGAAGUUAGAGGAACAGGUCGGGGAAAAGGAAAAAAUAGAAAAAGAGAAUCAAGUAUUGCAAGGCAUGGUAAAGAGGUUAACCAUAGAACAAAGUAAAGCUCUCCCCGCUAAUCACAGCCGAUGCGAGUCCCUUAUCCAGCACCUUAAACAAAGGCUGGGAUUCGCAAACCGCCAGAUAGCAGCGGUGAUGGCAGGAGAGUGGGACUUUAAUCCCCAGAGUGACGUCCCUGACUGGGAAAACGCCCCGAGGGAAUCUAGCGAGGUGUGGGAAAGAGAGCUACGGAGCAGCAAUCCUGAGCCCCAGGGGCCGAUUGCAGCCAUUAACAGAAUUACUGUAACAAGAACAGACACAGCUGCAGGGACUAGCACAGCUACUACAACCGUCCCCGUAUCAGCAGCUGAUCUCCAAGCAAUGGCAAAGAUGCUUGGACCCCUUAACUGGGAAAAAUUUUCAAAAUGGACUCUGCGUGCGCUGCAAUUGGCAGGCAAAGAAGAUUUAACAGUCCCUGAGCUUAAACGCCUCAUGACCGCCUGUGCAGCACCCGAAUUACAGGAAGUCAUUGAUCGGGUGAUAAGAGAAAACAGGGAGAACAAUACCUUCCUACCCCUGUUUGCAAGCCUAGGGGAACAAAUGGGUCGCCGACAUCUAAUGAUACAGGCGGCCAGCAUGAUGCAGGAACCUAAUAAAGACCCCAAAGGGUACCUAUCCCGCUGGGGACUUAUGCAGGUCAUGGCAGGCAUCACCCGCCCUGAAGAUGCCCAAGGAGCCCCUGCAAAUAACCCUGACACUGUAGCAUAUGGCACAGACGCCCUGAGGGACUGUGCUGCGACUCUUCUCCCUUACUAUGCUAAUAAGCUCAGCGUCUGGGCACUUAACCAGCCCGCGAGCAUGACUGAGCUCCGAGAUCUGAUCAAACAGAUCACCACUCAUUCUGGCCCCUCACUCCAAAUAAAAAAAAAAGGGCUCCCUUUGUGGCCGCACUUGAGCAAAUAACUUACUCCAAUAAAAGUGGUAAUAUGGGAAUAGGGGGCUCCCGA